GGUACUUGCCUACUAGUCUGCGCUUCUUUUGCCUACACACCUUUAUUUACUUUUUUUUUUUUUGGUUUUUACUUAUUCCCAAUUUUACAGAAAGAAAACAUUGAAGAACCCUAACUUCUUACUGACUUCCUCCCCCCUCACUCUCAUUCAAGGACCGGCGCUGCUCUCAGAUCGACGUUGGCCGCACUCCGCCGACGGCCGACCGGUGUUUGCCUGCUUGCCUUUAGCCUUCUCUGAGUUCUCUCUCUUCGACAAAGCAAAACUCUAGUCUCCAGCUCCUCCAAACUCAAUCAUGGAAGUUAUCAACAAGUAGCAGAUUGGGGGCAAGGGGUUCGAUCGCAAGAGAGAGAAACCGGAAUUUGUAAUUCCUCACCAUCAUUGGCGAGUAGUGGGAUGAUUCCGAAAUCGUUGUAUGUAGCAGAAGAGCACGUUGCUGCUGGGUGGCGUACUUGGCUUGCCGCCGUUGCAGGGGGGUUAUCUAAGGGUGGGUCCGCAGCGAGAUGAUUUAUUGAGAAGUUAAAUAAGAACUUGUUCAUCAAAUUUGUUGUGUAAAGGAAAGCAUGGUGUUUCCUUGAGUUUAGACGAGUAGAGGAGAGUUAAGGAUUCAUGAGAGUUUAGAUGAUCUAAGCACCGACUUGGUAGAAUAUAUAUCUUAAUUAUCAGAUGCAUCAGUAAAAGAGCGGGGCGUUUUUAUCAUUGCUUUAUCUGGUGGUUCUCUCAUUGGCUUAUUGGGAAAACUUGUUGAAAGCGCCUUAUAACAAAACUAUUGAUUGGGUUAAGUGGUAUAUUUUUUGGACUGAUGAGCAUGUGGUAGCAAAGAGCCAUACUGACAGCAAUUACAAGCUAGCAGGACGGUCUCUUGACCAAGAAUUCUGUCGUAAUAUCAAGUGCUCAGUGUGAACUUGCUACAAUCCCAUACAGAACAGUCAAAUUUGUGAAGCAGACGGAGACAAAAUCGACAAAAUCGUCAAAAUUUGAAGAUUGACCAUUGUAUCAAUUAACUAACUAGUUUUCUUUUUUUAGUUAUAGAGUAUUAUUUAGUGUGAAUUGUGAGAGAAAUAUUUGUAAUUUACAAGUACAUCAAUUCAGUAUAAUUUACAAGAUGUCGCUUAAAGUUGGUCUUA